AUACGUAGGUGGCAAGCGUUGUCCGGAAUUAUUGGGCGUAAAGCGCAUGUAGGCGGCGUGUUUAGUCUGUCGUGAAACUGCGGGGCUCAGCCCCGUCUGGCGAUGGAAACUGAUGUGCUUGAGUGCAGGAGAGGAAAGGGGAAUUCCCAGUGUAGCGGUGCAAUGCGUAGAUAUUGGGAAAAACACCGGUGGCGAAGGCGCCUUUCUGGACUGUGUCUGACGCUGAGAUGCGAAAGCCAGGGUAGCGAACGGGAUUAGAUACCCCGGUAGUCCUGGCCGUAAACGAUGGGUACUAGGUGUGGGAGGUAUCGACCCCUUCCGUGCCGGAGUUAACGCAAUAAGUACCCCGCCUGGGGAGUACGGCCGCAAGGCUUAAACUCAAAUGAAUUGACGGGG
rnacentral:rRNA from 1 species